rnacentral:rRNA from 1 species
GAUGAACGCUGGCGGCGUGCCUAAUACAUGCAAGUCGAGCGAAUGGAUUAAGAGCUUGCUCUUAUGAAGUUAGCGGUGGACGGGUGAGUAACACGUGGGUAACCUGCCCAUAAGACUGGGAUAACUCCGGGAAACCGGGGCUAAUACCGGAUAACAUUUUGAACCGCAUGGUUCGAAAUUGAAAGGCGGCUUCGGCUGUCACUUAUGGAUGGACCCGCGUCGCAUUAGCUAGUUGGUGAGGUAACGGCUCACCAAGGCAACGAUGCGUAGCCGGCCUGGGCGGGUGAUCGGCCAAACUGGGACUGGGACACGGCCCAGACUCCUACGGGAGGCAGCAGUAGGGAAUCUUCCGCAAUGGACGAAAGUCUGACGGAGCAACGCCGCGUGAGUGAUGAAGGCUUUCGGGUCGUAAAACUCUGUUGUUAGGGAAGAACAAGUGCUAGUUGAAUAAGCUGGCACCUUGACGGUACCUAACCAGAAAGCCACGGCUAACUACGUGCCAGCCGCCGCUGUAA